rnacentral:lncRNA from 1 species
AGAAAGACCAUCUGAAACGCUUUCAGACCUCCAGAGGUUAAUUGAUAAUUCUAAAAAAUUAAUUUACUUCAACUUUUUGGAAAUUUAUUCGAGCCUUCUAAAAUUUCACUUUCCACCUCUGUCACCGUCUCGGGCUGCUUCGUAAAAAUUCGCAUCUAUUUCCAGAGAGCGGGAUGCCGGGUUUCAUUGCGGGGGUGGCCGCGAACGAGUUUUGGCGGAAGUACGCGAACGAUCCGAUGGACGCGCGCUAUACGAGAACUUCGGCGCGAAGCUGGAGGUGAAGAUGGGCGACGUGGUCGUGACGUCAGUAUGGCCAACGAGCAAGACUGUAUGCGCCCAUGGCACUGGUUCUUCACCCUCUGGCCGGCCAUGGCUGGGAACCCGGGUAAGCCAGACGUACCAGCCCAGAUGAUCCGCUUCCUGCCGACGAGGAAAACUCUUUUCGCGAGCGUCAAUCCUCAGCUCUUCAACCCACCAUAAAGUACCAGACAAGGGUCCUCAUGAACCGCGAGAAGAAAGCAGGACACAUCGGACUCGUGGGUGUUUUGAUCGCUUAUAUGAUGGGGCAAAAGGAGAAGAUAUACUUCAAUCCCUUUUUCUGCAGCGCGAAACACUACGUGGAGUACCUUUCUCUGGGCCAGGUCACAGGAGGACGCUGGUGGCAACCCCUGUACAACCGACUUAGCAAGAGAUGCCCUGUUAGGAACCUAGUAACCCCCGAAAUGCUGGACGAGAUCUACAAGAGUAAGACUUUCACGUUGAAAGGGAAAGUUAGUGACGCGAGGGUUACACUGCAGGUUACAGAAUGGCCAGAGGAGAUUCAAUUCUUGUACCAACAGCACAAGCAAAAGAAAAAAUAAGCAGAAAAUUUAUAAAAGGGGCGCUUCAGACUCGACAGUUAAAUGCAGAGACAAGAGACCCUCCACUGGCCGCUUGGCGAAAGGUAGAAGCUUUUACUUUCAAGGAUUCAACAUUUCCUUAUGGACAAUUAUAAGGUAGCAACAGUCAUCACUCUUUUUUCGGCUGUUAACCUACCUGCAUGGUGGAUGAUGAGCUUCGGGUGACGUCAUGAGUCAAACAAGUAUCUCAAACUUUGGCUUGUUUGCAAAACAAACUACCAGCACUUUGUUAAACAUCAACCAUGUAGGUAAGUCAACAGUUUAAUGUUGAAGUCUCGAAAGUAAAGCGUCCACCAUAGCCGAGAUACGAGUAGAGGGUCUCUUGUCUCUGGUUAAAUGAGAUGCCACUAAAAUAGUUGUGGAUCAGAUAGGUUAAUUUUAUUAUGCAAAGAAUCACCUGCUCAUGAGGUCCAAACACCGAAAAACAAAGGGUGCUUACUUAAUAUUCUGGAUGUAAAAAAUUGUGCGCCAACUCACUAAACACUGAGUCAACCGCCACAGCAGUUAGCUUUACAUCUUGGCAUUGCUAAAGUAACUGUUGUGGCGGUUUUUGUGAGUUGUCGCACUUUUUUUUACAUUCAGAAUGUUAAGUCAGCAUCCUUUUUUGGUGAAGUAAGUAACGCCUAGAUUCAGGAUAAUGUGUAAAUUUUAAUUAGUAAAUGAGUAAAUUUUAAUUUUUUUCUAUAUUGAAAAUAUAGUGUUUUUAUUCUAGACUAAUACUUUUUACCUAGAUCA